GGAUCAUUACCGAGAGAGGGUCGCCCCCGCGCGCCCGACCUCCCAACCCUUUUGAUUGACCGUUACCUCGUUGCCUCGGGGGGUCCGGCCCUCGGCCGCCCCCGGUGGGCCAACCCAUCAAACUCUGCGUCCUUGCGUCGGAGUCUUAUACGAAAUCGUUUAAAACUUUCAACAACGGAUCUCUUGGUUCUCGCAUCGAUGAAGAACGCAGCGAAAUGCGAUAAGUAAUGUGAAUUGCAGAAUUCAGUGAAUCAUCGAAUCUUUGAACGCACAUUGCGCCCCUUGGUAUUCCGGGGGGCAUGCCCGUUCGAGCGUCAUUACACCACUCAAGCCUCGCUUGGUAUUGGGCGACGGGGGACUCGUCCCCGCGCCCCCAUUUGGUCGGCUGGACGGUCGGAAGCCUCAGCGUUGUGAAUCAAUUCGCUCCGGUAGACGAUCGCCCGCGCCGUUAAACCCCCUUCAUUACAGGUUGACCUCGGAUCGGGUAGGGAUACCCGCUGAACUUAAGCAUAUCAAUAAGCGGAGGAAAAGAAACCAACAGGGAUUGCCCUAGUAACGGCGAGUGAAGCGGCAACAGCUCAAAUUUGAAAUCUGGCGCAAGCCCGAGUUGUAAUUUGUAGAGGAUGCUUCUGGGCAGCGGCCGGUCUAAGUCCCUUGGAACAGGGCGUCAGAGAGGGUGAGAAUCCCGUAUGCGACCGGCUGGCACCCUACACGUAGCUCCUUCGACGAGUCGAGUUGUUUGGGAAUGCAGCUCUAAAUGGGAGGUAAAUUUCUUCUAAAGCUAAAUACCGGCGAGAGACCGAUAGCGCACAAGUAGAGUGAUCGAAAGAUGAAAAGCACUUUGGAAAGAGAGUUAAAAAGCACGUGAAAUUGUUGAAAGGGAAGCGCUUGCGACCAGACUUGCGGGUGGUGUUCCGCCGGCCUUUUGGCCGGUCUACUCGCCACCCGCAGGCCAGCGUCGUCUGGGGCCGCCGGAGAAAGGCGGGGGGAAUGUAGCUCCUUCGGGAGUGUUAUAGCCCCCCGCACAAUACGGCGUGCCCCGGGCGAGGUCCGCG
rnacentral:rRNA from 1 species